rnacentral:rRNA from 1 species
GAUGAACGCUAGCGGCAGGCUUAAUACAUGCAAGUCGAACGGUAAGUAUUUUAGCAAUAAGAUACGAGAGUGACGUACGGGUGCGUAACACGUAUGCAACCUACCUUGUACAGGAGGAUAGCUCGGGGAAACUCGAAUUAACCCUCCAUAAGAUCGUGGUGAGGCAUCUCACAGCGAUAAAAUCUUAGGAGGUACAAGAUGGGCAUGCGUCUGAUUAGAGUUGGUGCGGGUAACGGCCCACCAAGACGAUGAUCAGUAGGGGACCUGAGAGGGUGAUCCCCCACACUGGCACUGAGAUACGGGCCAGA